rnacentral:tRNA from 2 species
GCCUCCGUCGUCCAAAGGAUAGGACGCACGGCUCCGGACCGUGAAAUGUGGGUUCGACUCCCGCCGGAGGUA